AUUGAACGCUGGCGGCAGGCCUAACACAUGCAAGUCGAGCGGCAGCACGGGUANUUGUACCUGGUGGCGAGCGGCGGACGGGUGAGUAAUNCCUAGGAAUCUGCCUGGUAGUGGGGGAUAACGCUCGGAAACGGACGCUAAUACCGCAUACGUCCUACGGGAGAAAGCAGGGGACCUUCGGGCCUUGCGCUAUCAGAUGAGCCUAGGUCGGAUUAGCUAGUUGGUGAGGUAAUGGCUCACCAAGGCGACGAUCCGUAACUGGUNUGAGAGGAUGAUCAGUCACACUGGAANUGAGACACGGUCCAGACUCCUACGGGAGGCAGCAGUGGGGAAUAUUGGACAAUUNGAGAAANCGUGAUCCAGCCAUGCCGCGUGUGUGAAGAAGGUCUUCGGAUUGUAAAGCACUUUAAGUUGGGAGGAAGGGCAUUUACCUAAUACGUAAGUGUUUUGACGUUACCGACAGAAUAAGCACCGGCU
rnacentral:rRNA from 1 species